rnacentral:lncRNA from 1 species
ACACUUAAGGAUUUAUCCUCAACUGAGCAUAGGUCCUCUGAGAGAGGAAGAAAAUGCAAGGUGCAAAAUUACCAUGCUGAUCCUAAGCAGUCUAAGGUAGAUCAGAGUCAGGCAGAAACAGACAGGUCUAGAAAGAGAAAUCAACAAAGGGUUGCUGAACAAGGUACUUAUACGAUAACACAUUAUAAUUUUUCUAUUUGUGAUACUACUACCUG